UGCGUGAUCGACGUGGGACGACGGGCUAAACUUAAGCAUAUUAAUCAGCCCAGGAAAAGAAACUAACAAGGAUUCCCCCAGUAACUGCGAGUGAAGAGGGAAGAGCUCAAUGUGUGAAUCUGGCCGGGUAUAGAUCCUGGUCCGAAUUGUGCACUAUUGAUGCUGGAUCAGCUCAUGAGGGCUCACGGCGGAAGUCCGAUGAAACACGGCACCAUAGCGGGUCAAAGUCCUGUACACGCCAUCGAGCAAUCGAGCCUAUGACCAGCACUCAUCGAGUCGCGUAGUUUUGUAUUGCUGCGCCAAUUGGGAGGUAGAGCCCUUCUAAAGCUAAAUAUUAUGGCGUGACCGAUAGCAAACAAGUACCGUGAGGGAAAGGUGAAAAGCAACCAUGCAGAAUGGGUUGAAAAAGAAGUGAAAGUGCUACCGGGAUAAGGGCUAUUGAUUGCAAGUGCGGAUUGCAUGUGCUUUAGUGCUAUGCUAACCGCCGUCAUGCAUCGAUUGAGGACUGGGGAGAACAGGCGGGCGGAGAAUCGGCUCGGUCUCGAGUGUUGUAAUCCGCCC
rnacentral:rRNA from 1 species